GUGAAUCAUCGAAUUUUUGAACGCAAAUUGCACUCUUUGGUAUUCCGGAAAGUAUGCCUGUUUGAGGGUCAGUUAAAUCAAAAACGGAGUUGUUGCUGCAUUUCGUGGUGACGCGUCGGAUUUGAGUCGUCGUCAUUUCGGUUAAGUGACUUAAAAUUCUUGCAUGAUUUUUGACCGUAUUUAAAUCGCU
rnacentral:misc_RNA from 1 species